rnacentral:rRNA from 1 species
GAUGAACGCUGGCGGCGUGCUUAACACAUGCAAGUCGAGCGAUGAAGUUUCCUUCGGGAAACGGAUUAGCGGCGGACGGGUGAGUAACACGUGGGUAACCUGCCUCAUAGAGUGGAAUAGCCUUCCGAAAGGAAGAUUAAUACCGCAUAACGUUGAAAGAUGGCAUCAUCAUUCAACCAAAGGAGCAAUCCGCUAUGAGAUGGACCCGCGGCGCAUUAGCUAGUUGGUGGGGUAAUGGCCUACCAAGGCGAUGAUAGGUAGCCGGCCUGAGAGGGUGAACGGCCACAAGGGGACUGAGACACGGCCCUU